rnacentral:lncRNA from 1 species
AAUGGAAGCACUUUUAGUGAGAGCAUUUUCUUUUAAGGCUUAGUUUGGUAUUAAGACCUAUCUAACGUUAUUAGAUAAAAUGGAGUUGAGAAAAAAGCAUAUAGGGAUAUGCUUCUGCGUUCUUCAGUGGGACCGCAGAAAAUAUAUCGUAACCGACUCAUCGCGAUACGCGGAACGCAAUAUUAUGUACGAAAACAAACAAUAUAUUUUUCUAACGUAUAACGCAAUCUCCCCGCAAUCUCAAACGAAACCUAAAUUAAGUCCUACAUAGAUGUGAGAACAAGCUAUCCACAGCAACAUGAAAGAAUAUAUCAUGAUGGUCUAAAUUUGCUGGUAUAUAAUGAAUUCUAAUGAACUACGAGACGAACAAUUAUUUUAUUUCAAGAAAAUAAUGUAUAGCUUGCAAUGAUAAGCUAUCGUAAACUUCUAAGUGGGGGCGGCAAUAUGUUCCGCUCGAAAUGAGGUCGAAAUCGAAUCGCUCGUUUAGUAAACGAGCCAAACACUAGCUGAUUUUUCAGCUCAUUUAAUAAACGAGCCGAACAAGAGUUGGGGUCAGCUCGUUCGUAUUUGGCUCGAUAACAGCUCGAAUACAUAUAUUUUAUAUUUAUAUAAUUUAUUUAAUUUAUAUUUAUAUAUAUUUAUAUAUAAAUAAAUAAUUAUAUAUAUAAUAUAUAUUUUUAUUAUUUGAUUUUUAGCCAAAAAAAAAGACGAGCUUAAUUAUAAAAAGACUCAUUUAUAUGUAAAAUUUCAACCAUUAGAUCAAAGUAUUUUAAUAUUGGAGGUUUUUCCAAAUUCAU